CCUACGGGAGGCGCAGUGGGGAAUUUUCCGCAAUGGGCGAAAGCCUGACGGAGCAACGCCGCGUGAGGGAUGAAGGCCUCUGGGCUGUAAACCUCUUUUAUCAAGGAAGAAGAUCUGACGGUACUUGAUGAAUAAGCCACGGCUAAUUCCGUGCCAGCAGCCGCGGUAAUA
rnacentral:rRNA from 1 species